GGGCCGGUAGCUCAGCUUGGUAGAGCACCUGAAAAACAGAGGGAAAAUUUCGGUGAAACUUUUACCAAAUGAGAAGACAUCAGGUGGUCGAGGGUUCAAAUCCCUUCCGGCCCG
rnacentral:tRNA from 1 species